AAAAAGUCAAAUCCUGGGUUUUCGUGUCCAACGUUUGACUGUCCGUCUUAUAUGAAAUUUUUUUAUAAUUAGUAUUUUCAUUGUUGUUAGAUGAUAAAACAUGAUUAAUACUUUAUGCGUGACUUGUCUUUUUUAAUUUUUUUCUUAUUUUUUUCAAAUAAGACGGAUAGUUAAACGUUUGACACGGAAACCCAGGGUUUGUCUUUUU
rfam:Oryza nivara chromosome 6, whole genome shotgun sequence.